GAUGAAGAACGCAGCGAAAUGCGAUAACUAAUGUGAAUUGCAGAAUUCAGUGAAUCAUCGAAUCUUUGAAAGCACAUUGCGCCCCUUGGUAUUCCAUGGGGCAUGCCUGUUCGAGCGUCAUUUGUACCUUCAAGCUUUGCUUGGUGUUGGGUGUUUGUCUCGCCUUUGCGUGUAGACUCGCCUUAAAAUAAUUGGCAGCCGGCGUAUUGAUUUCGGAGCGCAGUACAUCUCGCGCUUUGCACUCAUAACGACAGCGUCCAAAAGUACAUUUUACACUCUUGACCUCGGAUCAGGUAGGGAUACCCGCUGAACUUAAGCAUAUCAAUAAGCGGAGGA
rnacentral:misc_RNA from 1 species